AAGUCGUAACAAGGUCUCCGUAGGUGAACCUGCGGAGGGAUCAUUACAGAGACUCUGCCCUUUGGGUAGACCUCCCACCCUGUGUCGUUAUACCUUCGUUGCUUUGGCGGGCCGCGGGGCCCCGGCCCCGCCCCUGGCUCCGGCUAGGGCGCGCCCGCCAGAGGACCUCAAAACCUGAAUGUUAGUGUCGUCUGAGUACUAUAUAAUAGUUAAAACUUUCAACAACGGAUCUCUUGGUUCUG
rnacentral:misc_RNA from 1 species